rnacentral:rRNA from 1 species
GACGAACGCUGGCGGCGUGCUUAACACAUGCAAGUCGAACGGAAAGGCCCCUUUGGGGGUACUCGAGUGGCGAACGGGUGAGUAACACGUGAGUAACCUGCCCUUGACUUCGGGAUAACUUCAGGAAACUGGGGCUAAUACCGGAUAGGAAUCCUUGCUGCAUGGUGGGGGUUGGAAAGCUUCGGCGGUUUUGGAUGGACUCGCGGCUUAUCAGCUUGUUGGUGGGGUAGUGGCUUACCAAGGCUUUGACGGGUAGCCGGCCUGAGAGGGCGACCGGCCACAUUGCGACUGAGAUACGGCCCAGACUCCUACGGGAGGCAGCAGUGGGGAAUAUUGCACAAUGGGCGGAAGCCUGAUGCAGCAACGCCGCGUGCGGGAGGACGGCCUUCGGGUUGUAAACCGCUUUCAGCAGGGGCGAAGCUUGUGGUGACGGUACCUGCAGAAGAAGCACCGGCUAACUACGUG